GGAACAUCUGGUCACCUCUUAUAAUAACUGGGCCUUCGAAACUUCAGCUUUCUCAAGUGACCAGGUUAGAAAAUGUAUGGAUUCCAUGGCCUAACGGUCAUCACUGGUAGACAGGCAUAUCUGAAGAAAAAAAGAAAUACAGAUGGGAGACGAACUCCUCUCUUGCCCUGAGAACACUCCCACUAGUUUUUCAAGGUCCAGUGCAGGCUGGCCAGGACUGUCAGUGUGUUGGACUUCGGGGAUGCAGAAUUCCUUCUUCCUGUGAUUCUGUCACUUUCUUACCUGCUAAAGUCACCAGGACAGGAGAAGGUCCUCGGAGCCCCACCAGCCUACAUCACUCUGAGGAGGAGGUCAGAGCGACUCUACUGCCAUUUGUCUAGACAAGUAA
rnacentral:lncRNA from 1 species